GAGGGUGAUCGGCCACACUGGAACUGAGACACGGUCCAGACUCCUACGGGAGGCAGCAGUAGGGAAUCUUCCGCAAUGGGCGAAAGCCUGACGGAGCAACGCCGCGUGAGUGAUGAAGGUCUUCGGAUCGUAAAACUCUGUUAUUAGGGAAGAACAUAUGUGUAAGUAACUGUGCACAUCUUGACGGUACCUAAUCAGAAAGCCACGGCUAACUACGUGCCAGCAGCCGCGGUAAUACGUAGGUGGCAAGCGUUAUCCGGAAUUAUUGGGCGUAAAGCGCGCGUAGGCGGUUUUUUAAGUCUGAUGUGAAAGCCCACGGCUCAACCGUGGAGGGUCAUUGGAAACUGGAAAACUUGAGUGCAGAAGAGGAAAGUGGAAUUCCAUGUGU
rnacentral:rRNA from 1 species